UAGGGAAUUUUGCGCAAUGGGCGAAAAGCCUGACGCAGCGACUUCGCGUGUGGGAUGAAGGGUUUCGGCUCGUAAACCACUUUCAGAGGGGAAGAUGGGGUAAACGUAUAAUACACGUUUAUCUUGACUGUACCCUCAGAGGAAGCACCGGCUAACUCCGUGCCAGCAGCCGCGGUAAGACGGAGGGGGCUAGCGUUGUUCGGAAUGACUGGGCGUAAAGGGUGCGUAGGCGGUUUUUUAAGUGAGGCGUGAAAGCCCUGGGCUUAACCCAGGAAUUGCGUUUCAGACUGAAAAGCUUGAGUACGAGAGAGGUAAGUGGAAUUCCUAGUGUAGAGGUGAAAUUCGUAGAUAUUAGGAAGAACACCAGUGGCGAAGGCGGCUUACUGGCUCGUAACUGACGCUGAGGCACGAAAGCGUGGGGAGCAAACAGG
rnacentral:rRNA from 1 species